GUCGAGCAAGGAUGAAAAUCGGACUUAGUGAUCCGGUGGUUCUGCGUGGAAGGGCCAUCGCUCAACGGAUAAAAGCUACCCUGGGGAUAACAGGCUUAUCUCCCCCAAGAGUCCACAUCGACGGGGAGGUUUGGCACCUCGAUGUCGGCUCAUCACAUCCUGGGGCUGUAGUAGGUCCCAAGGGUUGGGCUGUUCGCCCAUUAAAGUGGUACGCGAGCUGGGUUCAGAACGUCGUG
rnacentral:rRNA from 1 species